AUAAAUAAGCGGAGGAAAAGAAACCAACUGGGAUUCCCCUAGUAACGGCGAGUGAAAAGGGAUGAGUCCAGCGCCGAAUCGCGCGCCUUGUGUGCUGCGAAAUGUGGCGUUUGGGAGUGAGCGUGCCGGAGGUUUGCCCUAACAGCAAGUCCCCCUGACCGGGGCUCUUUUCCGAAGCGGGUGCGAGACCCAUAGCUGGAGGGCUGCUUUCGGAUGCGAUCUCCUUGGAGUCGGGCUGCUUGGGAGUGCAGCCCUAAGUGGGUGGUAAACUCCACCUAAGACUAAAUACGGCCGUGAGACCGAUAGCGAACAA
rnacentral:rRNA from 1 species